UGUCAGCAGCCGCGGUAAGACGAACCGUGCGACCGUUAUUCGGAAUCACUGGGCUUAAAGGGUGCGUAGGCGGGUGGACAAGUCGAGGGUGAAAGCCUCUAGCUUAACUAGAGAAGUGCCCUCGAUACUGUUUGUCUUGAGAGAGAUAGGGGCACACGGAACUUCCGGUGGAGCGGUGAAAUGCGUAGAUAUCGGAAGGAACGCCGGUGGCGAAAGCGGUGUGCUGGAUCUUUUCUGACGCUGAGGCACGAAAGCUAGGGUAGCGAACGGGAUUAGAUACCCCGGUAGUCCUAGCCCUAAACGAUGAGUACUAGAUUGUGGACUGACAUGGGUUCACAGUCGAAGCAAAAGUAUUAAGUACUCCGCCUGGGGAGUAUGGUCGCAAGGCUGAAACUCAAAUAAAUUGGCGG
rnacentral:rRNA from 1 species